GAUGAAGAACGCAGCGAAAUGCGAUAAGUAAUGUGAAUUGCAGAAUUCAGUGAAUCAUCGAAUCUUUGAACGCACAUUGCGCCCGGUAGUAUUCUGCCGGGCAUGCCUGUUCGAGCGUCAUUUCAACCAUCAAGCCCCAGCGCUUGUGUUGGGGGCCUGCGGCUGCCGCAGCCCCCUAAAAGCAGUGGCGGGCUCGCUAUCACACCGAGUGCAGUAGUUCAUCUUCUCUCCGGUCUUGUGAGGCGGGUUCCGGCCGUGAAACACCCCACUACAUUCAAGGUUGACCUCAAAUCAGGUAGGACUACCCGCUGAACUUAAGCAUAUCAAUAAGCGGAGGA
rnacentral:misc_RNA from 1 species